GGUGAGUAACGCGUGGGAACGUACCUUUCGCUACGGAAUAGCUCUUGGAAACGAGUGGUAAUACCGUAUACGCCCUCCGGGGGAAAGAUUUAUCGGCGAAAGAUCGGCCCGCGUUAGAUUAGGUAGUUGGUGGGGUAAUGGCCUACCAAGCCUACGAUCUAUAGCUGGUCUGAGAGGAUGAUCAGCCACACUGGGACUGAGACACGGCCCAGACUCCUACGGGAGGCAGCAGUGGGGAAUCUUGCACAAUGGGCGAAAGCCUGAUGCAGCCAUGCCGCGUGAAUGAUGAAGGCCUUAGGGUUGUAAAAUUCUUUCGCCAGGGAUGAUAAUGACAGUACCUGGUAAAGAAGCCCCGGCUAACUUCGUGCCAGCAGCCGCGGUAAUACGAAGGGGGCUAGCGUUGUUCGGAAUUACUGGGCGUAAAGCGCACGUAGGCGGACUUUUAAGUCAGAUGUGAAAUCCCGGGGCUCAACCUCGGAACUGCAUUUGAAACUGGAAGUCUGGAGUUCAGGAGAGGUUAGCGGAAUACCGAGUGUAGAGGUGAAAUUCGUAGAUAUUCGGUGGAACACCAGUGGCGAAGGCGGCUAACUGGACUGAUACUGACGCUGAGGUGCGAAAGUGUGGGGAGCAAACAGGAUUAGAUACCCUGGUAGUCCACACCGUAAACGAUGACAGCUAGUUGUUGGCAGGC
rnacentral:rRNA from 1 species